rnacentral:tRNA from 1 species
GCACUCUUAGCUCAGUUGGUAGAGCAACUGACUCUUAAUCAGUGGGUCCAGAGUUCGAAUCUCUGAGGGUGUACUA